GCUUACGGCCAUACCAGCCUGGGUACGCCCGAUCUCGUCUGAUCUCGGAAGCUAAGCAGGGUCGGGCCUGGUUAGUACUUGGAAGGGAGACCGCCUGGGAAUACCAGGUGCUGUAAGCA
rnacentral:rRNA from 1 species